CAGGAUCCAACUAUCAAUUUACAGAAACACGGAGGACAGAGACAUGAGUAAUCUGCACCAUGGGGCUGCAAUCAACAAAAUCCACACUGCGGGAAAGAGAGUCUCCUGAAAUAUUCAUGAAUGAAAUAAUACAUUGUCUGGGAUUUACUUCAGCAUAAUUGGGGAUGAGUGGAGUGGUGGCAGUAUACAUAGAACCAGAUUGGCCCUGCAGCAGAGACUUACUCAGAUGCUCCAGCCUCGCUCACCUGUGCGACAAGGGCAAUGAGGCACAGAGCCGUGGGGACACCUCCCUGAGUUCACACAGCUGUGAACCUAAGACUGCUCUAAGAAAUCAAGUCUUUGGAAAAUGUAUGGGAAGAGAAUAAUAUCAGCCCUAAAUGUCUCUCCGGCAUCAUUUACAAGAGUGAAAUUUUAGAAAUAAGCCCCAAAUCCAUCAAUAGAAGACUACAUGAAUGAAGUGGUAAAUGUAAAUAAAACAUAUACAGGCCACUUCCUGUGCUGGAGCACUGUGCGUUUACUAUAGAGAAGAAGGUCGAGCUGUGUGCACAAAUACGGA
rnacentral:lncRNA from 1 species